rnacentral:rRNA from 1 species
ACACAUGCAAGUCGAACGGCAGCACGGAGAGCUUGCUCUCUGGUGGCGAGUGGCGAACGGGUGAGUAAUAUAUCGGAACGUGUCCAAUAAUGGGGGAUAACGAGUCGAAAGAUUCGCUAAUACCGCAUACGCCCUACGGGGGAAAGCAGGGGAUCGUAAGACCUUGCGUUAAUGGAGCGGCCGAUAUCUGAUUAGCUUGUUGGUGAGGUAAAGGCUCACCAAGGCGACGAUCAGUAGCUGGUUUGAGAGAACGACCAGCCACACUGGAACUGAGACACGGUCCAGACUCCUACGGGAGGCAGCAGUGGGGAAUUUUGGACAAUGGGGGCAACCCUGAUCCAGCCAUUCCGCGUGAGUGAAGAAGGCCUUCGGGUUGUAAAGCUCUUUCGCAAGGGAAGAAAACUUAUGAUCGAAUAAAUCAUGAGGUUGACGGUACCUUGAUAAGAAGCACCGGCUAACUACGUGCCAGCAGCCGCGGUAAUACGUAGGGUGCGAGCGUUAAUCGGAAUUACUGGGCGUAAAGCGUGCGCAGGCGGUUUUGUAAGUCGGAUGUGAAAUCCCCGGGCUCAACCUGGGAACUGCGUUCGAAACUGCAAGGCUAGAGUGUGUCAGAGGGGGGUAGAAUUCCACGUGUAGCAGUGAAAUGCGUAGAGAUGUGGAGGAAUACCAAUGGCGAAGGCAGCCCCCUGGGAUAACACUGACGCUCAUGCACGAAAGCGUGGGGAGCAAACAGGAUUAGAUACCCUGGUAGUCCACGCCCUAAACGAUGUCAACUAGUUGUUGGUAGAGUAAAAUCUAUGAGUAACGUAGCUAACGCGUGAAGUUGACCGCCUGGGGAGUACGGUC